UUGGCUCAGUUUGCUAAAGUGACUCUAUUUUCAUAGGAUUAUCUCCUAGCAAAAGAUAAAAGCUUAUCCUGACAACUGCCUGUUACCUGACAUUCAAGUCAUAAAACUACUACUGGAAGCUAGCUGUGCACCAGUCUUCUCGAAGAAGAAGAAUGCUGUAGAAUUAAAGAAAAAGUAGUACUGAAUAGAUCUUUUGUAGACUAGCCAUAUUUGAUGAAAUUAAUCUUACUAUAUGGAACAUGAAAGAUCAUUCUUGAUUUUUCAUGACUGUCUUCCUGAGUCAACUCAAAAAGCACUGUGAGUACCCAAAGCUCAGCCUCUACAGUUUGUAAAAAGAUGAAUCAGAAUAUGCUACAUUAUGAAAAAGAGUGAGACUGCAAUGGAAGAAAGUCUACUGAAAGCACAAUGGUUACUGUUUAAAAUUCCUUCCUAAUUUAUCUUACUUUUUCCUACAGAAAAUGAACAUCUACAAAGCUGUAGUUAGUGCUGAAAAUUUUGAACACCCUUAUGACUGGUCUUGCUUCCUUUUCCCCUCAUAUGCUUGCUACACCUUAAAAAAGGUGAAAGAGUUACAAUAAACUAUUGUGAAAAACAUGCAUCAUGGAGUAAACUUGCAAGUAAAGCUUUGAAACCAAUAGUUCUGGUUUUGAUGAUUAAGCACAGCUCACUUCAAAAGUGGGUACUGUAAACUUACUUUAAAAACUAGCAAUAUCUUUAG